GAUGAACGCUGGCGGCGUGCCUAAUACAUGCAAGUCGAGCGAACGGACGAGAAGCUUGCUUCUCUGAUGUUAGCGGCGGACGGGUGAGUAACACGUGGAUAACCUACCUAUAAGACUGGGAUAACUUCGGGAAACCGGAUCUAAUACCGGAUGAUAUUUUGAACCGCAUGGUUCAAAAGUGAAAGACGGUCUUGCUGUCACUUAUAGAUGGAUCCGCGCUGCAUUAGCUAGUUGGUAAGGUAACGGCUUACCAAGGCAACGAUGCAUAGCCGACCUGAGAGGGUGAUCGGCCACACUGGAACUGAGACACGGUCCAGACUCCUACGGGAGGCAGCAGUAGGGAAUCUUCCGCAAUGGGCGAAAGCCUGACGGAGCAACGCCGCGUGAGUGAUGAAGGUCUUCGGAUCGUAAAACUCUGUUAUUAGGGAAGAACAUAUGUGUAAGUAACUGUGCACAUCUUGACGGUACCUAAUCAGAAAGCCACGGCUAACUACGU
rnacentral:rRNA from 1 species